AUUGAACGCUGGCGGCAGGCCUAACACAUGCAAGUCGAGCGGAUGAAGGGAGCUUGCUCCUGGAUUCAGCGGCGGACGGGUGAGUAAUGCCUAGGAAUCUGCCUGGUAGUGGGGGAUAACGUCCGGAAACGGGCGCUAAUACCGCAUACGUCCUGAGGGAGAAAGUGGGGGAUCUUCGGACCUCACGCUAUCAGAUGAGCCUAGGUCGGAUUAGCUAGUUGGUGGGGUAAAGGCCUACCAAGGCGACAAUCCGUAACUGGUCUGAGAGGAUGAUCAGUCACACUGGAACUGAGACACGGUCCAGCCUCCUACGGGAGGCAGCAGAGGGGAAUAUUGGACAAUGGGCGAAAGCCUGAUCCAGCCAGGCCGCGUGUGUGAAGAAGGUCUUCGGAUUGUAAAGCACUUUAAGUUGGGAGGAAGGGCAGUAAGUUAAUACCUUGCUGUUUUGACGUUACCGACAGAAUAAGCACCGGCUAACUUCGUG
rnacentral:rRNA from 1 species